rnacentral:rRNA from 1 species
CCUACGGGAGGCAGCAGUAGGGAAUCUUCCGCAAUGGACGAAAGUCUGACGGAGCAACGCCGCGUGAACGAUGAAGGCCUUCGGGUCGUAAAGUUCUGUUGUUAGGGAAGAACAAGUGCUAGUUAAAUAAGCUGGCACCUUGACGGUACCUAACCAGAAAGCCACGGCUAACUACGUGCCAGCAGCCGCGGUAAUACGUAGGUGGCAAGCGUUGUCCGGAAUUAUUGGGCGUAAAGCGCGCGCAGGCGGUUUCUUAAGUCUGAUGUGAAAGCCCCCGGCUCAACCGGGGAGGGUCAUUGGAAACUGGGAAACUUGAGUGCAGAAGAGGAAAGUGGAAUUCCAAGUGUAGCGGUGAAAUGCGUAGAGAUUUGGAGGAACACCAGUGGCGAAGGCGACUUUCUGGUCUGUAACUGACGCUGAGGCGCGAAAGCGUGGGGAGCAAACAGGAUUAGAUACCCUGGUAGUCCACGCUGUAAACGAUGAGUGCUAAGUGUUAGAGGGUUUCCGCCCUUUAGUGCUGAAGUUAACGCAUUAAGCACUCCGCCUGGGGAGUCGGUCGCAAGCUGAAACUUAAUGAAUUGACGGCUUGAGAGNGCGAGNGACGACGAGGAGAG